rnacentral:rRNA from 1 species
GACGGAGGAUGCAAGCGUUAUCCGGGAUGAUUGGGCGUAAAGCGUCCGCAGGUGGCAGUUCAAGUCUGCUGUCAAAGACCGGGGCUUAACUUCGGAAAGGCAGUGGAAACUGAACAGCUAGAGUAUGGUAGGGGCAGAGGGAAUUCCUGGUGUAGCGGUGAAAUGCGUAGAUAUCAGGAAGAACAUCGGUGGCGAAGGCGCUCUGCUGGACCAUAACUGACACUCAGGGACGAAAGCUAGGGGAGCGAAUGGG